GCAGUGUUGCACUUUGGGCAACCCAGAGCGAAGCGCCCUCCAGCGCAGAUCUUGGUUGCAGUAGCGAAUACUCGAUUGGGGUGCAAGCUGCAACCCCUGCCGUGUAUGCUUGAAGACUGGAGUGGG
rnacentral:rRNA from 16 species